GCCGCUUUAGCUCACCUGGGAGAGCGCCAGACUGAAGUUCAACUUUGGUUCUUCUAGCUGAUCAGCUAGUUUUCUGGAGGUACUGUGUUCGACCCACAGAAGCGGCA